rnacentral:tRNA from 1 species
GCAUCCAUGGUUGAAUGGUUGAAGCACCUAAUUCAGCGAAUUCAUAGGUUCAAUUCCUAUUGGAUGCA